rnacentral:lncRNA from 1 species
GGGGUUUUUGAUUAUGUGAUUACUUGGCCCUUUUUUUAAUGAUUAUUUGAUUAUUAAGCCAAAUAUUUCAUGAUUAUUUGAUUACCUAGGACUGUAUUUUUAGUUUAUGAUUAUUUGAUUACUAAAGAUAAGCAAAUAUUUAAUGAUUAUGUGAUUAUAUUGGCAAAAAAAUGGUGAUUAUGUGAUUACUAGGACCCCCCC